AGCUUGUGAGCUUUUGCUCGAAUUGAUGAACCGGGGAGCUGCUUUGGAGGUGGCUCCUUGCAAUGCAUUAUUGACAGGGUUGGGGAGGGAUAGUUAUCGUGAUAGAAUGAAUGAUGUUAUGGCAAAGAUGAAGGAAAUGGAUAUUGAGCCAAAUGUUAUCACCUAUGGGAUUCUUAUUAAUCACCUUUGCAAGUUUAGGAGAGUUGAUGAGGCGCUGGUGGUGUUUCAAAGGAUGAAUGAAAGUCAAGAGGGG
rnacentral:misc_RNA from 1 species